rnacentral:lncRNA from 1 species
CGAUCGAACGAGGUUCGAUCCUAAGUAUGGGUUCAUAUACAGUACUAGGAUUUUGGGGGGUUGGAGCUGAUGAACUUCUAGAACCGCUAGAGGAGGAAGUGUUGGAGGAUAUUUUGAAUCAAAUGAAAAUCUCAAAAAAAUUAGAAAAAAUAGGAAACAAGGCGGUCGUGGAGAAACUGAAUGGGUAGAAUGCAGAGGAGGAA